rnacentral:rRNA from 1 species
CCUACGGGUGGCAGCAGUGAGGAAUAUUGGUCAAUGGCCGAGAGGCUGAACCAGCCAAGUCGCGUGAGGGAAGACGGCCCUACGGGUUGUAAACCUCUUUUGUCGGGGAGCAAAGCGAACCACGUGUGGUUCAUUGAGAGUACCCGAAGAAAAAGCAUCGGCUAACUCCGUGCCAGCAGCCGCGGUAAUACGGAGGAUGCGAGCGUUAUCCGGAUUUAUUGGGUUUAAAGGGUGCGCAGGCGGAGGUGCAAGUCAGCGGUCAAAUUGCGGGGCUCAACCCCGUACUGCCGUUGAAACUGCAUCCCUUGAGUGCGCGAGAAGUAUGCGGAAUGCGUGGUGUAGCGGUGAAAUGCAUAGAUAUCAUACAGAACACCGAUUGCGAAGGCAGCUUACCAAGCUACUUCUGACGUUGAGGCACGAAAGCGUGGGGAGCAAACAGGAUUAGAUACCCUUGUAGUC